AUGGAACCCAUGCUAGCAGAGGUCCGUGCCGCCAACGAGGACAUGCUGUACAGCUUGUACUUCCCGGCCGGCGGUCGUGCCCCGACGGCGGCGGCGGUGGAUUGCGUCUGUCUCGACUACCUCAGUUGCCGCGAGUGCGAGUGCAUCCUCGGCGACUCCUUCCUCGCCAUCGAGCUCGCCGUUCUCAAGAAGCAGCGCAUAGAUCAUACUUCUAUCCCGGCGGCGCGCGUCCAACUCCAGAUCGGGCACGUGGCCGAAGGGUCGCGCACGGCAGUCUCCGGCAUGUCGUCGGAGCAGCUCGUGCCGGGCUCGCACCUACCAUCGGACGGGGUGGAGAGUUCUGACGUGGCAGCCGGCAUGGCGGACCGGCUUGUCCCGGGCUCGGACCAACCGUCGGACGGGGUCAGGGGGUCCGACGCGGCAAUCUCCAGCAUGGCGGUCCGGCUCGGCCCGGUCUCGCACCCUACACCGUCGCACGGGAUCAAAGGGUUCGAGGAGGCCAUCUCCGACAUGGCGGCUCGGCUCGGGCUGGCGGCCACCAUCGGGGAGCGGGCCAAGGAGGUGUUCAAGAAGAUGGACGACGCCAAGGCGGAGCUGGCCCGGGAGGUAGCGGCGGACGGUGGCGCGGCCAUGAGGAAGGAAAUCGCCAGGUUGGUGGCGCACAUCAAGAAGCGGCUCGGGGAGGAGGAGGCCGGGACCGGCGUGGUGGGCGUCUCGAGCUACCUGCGCCGGUUCGGCGCGCUGGUCGGGCUGGGGAAAGCGGAGGAGGCGGCGGCGCUGGAGGCGGCCCGGCGGCUGGAGGAGGGCGCGCUGGGCGUACCGCACAACGCGGAUUCCCUCGCAGCCGCCGUCGUCUUUCUAGUCCUCGAGCGCGCCGGCUCCGUGACGUCCGUGAAAGACGUGGCGGCGGCCACCGGCCUCUCCCAGAUGACCAUCUACGCGGUGUGCAGGAAACUGCGCCCGCACCACGACCGGCUCUUCGGCUGA
rnacentral:rRNA from 1 species